rnacentral:rRNA from 1 species
AUUGAACGCUGGCGGCAUGCCUUACACAUGCAAGUCGAACGGCAGCACGGGAGCAAUCCUGGUGGCGAGUGGCGAACGGGUGAGUAAUAUAUCGGAACGUGCCCAGUCGUGGGGAUAACGUAGCGAAAGCUACGCUAAUACCGCAUACGAUCUAUGGAUGAAAGCGGGGGAUCGCAAGACCUCGCGCGAUUGGAGCGGCCGAUAUCAGAUUAGGUAGUUGGUGAGGUAAAGGCUCACCAAGCCGACGAUCUGUAGCUGGUCUGAGAGGACGACCAGCCACACUGGGACUGAGACACGGCCCAGACUCCUACGGAGGCAGCAGUGGGGAAUUUUGGACAAUGGCGCAAGCCUGAUCCAGCAAUGCCGCGUGCAGGAUGAAGG